AUGGGUGAACUUCUCAAGACUCCUAGCAUGAGAAUGAGACGUCUACUGUUCCAGGCCAUCGCUUAUUCAUAUGAUACAGAGCAGGAUGCCUUUAUAAUUAAUGGGAGACCAUGUAGGAUCACACUAAAAGAUGUGGAGCAUAUAACAGGCCUGCCCUGCAUGGGGAAGAAUCACGUCUCUUCAAAUCACAAUGAUACUUUGGAGUUGUGGAAGGAACUGAAAGACCACAAUGACACAGAAGUAACUUUGAAAGGAUUGCUAGCCAAGAUGAAAGGCGACAGCACACCUAAUUUUGUCAGGCCAUUUGUCUUGUACACCAUAGGCAAAUAUGUAUGCCCGACAACACAGUAG
rnacentral:rRNA from 1 species